rnacentral:lncRNA from 1 species
CGCCAAGUAAACACCCACUGUGUCCGCUGGCCCACAGCCAUCCACCUGAGCACCGGGUGUCCGGGUGUGCCGAGAUGGCGAUGGUGCUGUGAGAUUUUGUUCCCCUCCUGUCUUUCUUCUGGGACUUAUUUUGAUCUGGGCCAUGUCCUCAGCGUUCCCGCUACUUCCUGCACGUCGUCCACUCUGCCUGCCUUCCCUGUCCCUCUUGUCACUGUGUCAUCUCUUCGGCCCCGUCACCCUCCCCUGGGCCGGGGUCCUGCAGUUUGCCGGGCUCAGCUGUGCCUGAGAGUCCUCCAGGAGCAUGACAUGGGCGUUGUUCUCUGAGUUUCCAUAACUUCCGAGCUCUGGAGCCUGACAGCUUGUGUUUGGCAGUUUUGUUGGCUACAGAACCCUUGGGCCACGGGUUUCUUUCCUGUUGUCCACUGUUUUCUCU